GACGAACGCUGGCGGCGUGCUUAACACAUGCAAGUCGAGCGAUGAAGCUUCUUCGGAAGUGGAUUAGCGGCGGACGGGUGAGUAACACGUGGGUAACCUGCCUCAUAGAGGGGAAUAGCCUUCCGAAAGGAAGAUUAAUACCGCAUAAGAUUGUAAUAUCGCAUGAUAUAGCAAUUAAAGGAGUAAUCCGCUAUGAGAUGGACCCGCGUCGCAUUAGCUAGUUGGUGAGGUAACGGCUCACCAAGGCGACGAUGCGUAGCCGACCUGAGAGGGUGAACGGCCACAUUGGGACUGAGACACGGCCCAGACUCCUACGGGAGGCAGCAGUGGGGAAUAUUGCACAAUGGGGGAAACCCUGAUGCAGCAACGCCGCGUGAGUGAUGACGGUCUUCGGAUUGUAAAGCUCUGUCUUCAGGGACGAUAAUGACGGUACCUGAGGAGGAAGCCACGGCUAACUACGUGCCAGCCGCCGCCGUAAAAC
rnacentral:rRNA from 1 species